AUAAAGGUAACAAGGUUUCCGUAGGUGAACCUGCGGAAGGAUCAUUACAGUAUUCUUUUUGCCAGCGCUUAAUUGCGCGGCGAAAAAACCUUACACACAGUGUUUUUUGUUAUUACAAGAACUCUUGCUUUGGUCUGGACUAGAAAUAGUUUGGGCCAGAGGUUUACUAAACUAAACUUCAAUAUUUAUAUUGAAUUGUUAUUUAUUUUAAUUGUCAAUUUGUUGAUUAAAUUCAAAAAAUCUUCAAAACUUUCAACAACGGAUCUCUUGGUUCUCGCAUCGAUGAAGAACGCAGCGAAAUGCGAUAAGUAAUAUGAAUUGCAGAUUUUCGUGAAUCAUCGAAUCUUUGAACGCACAUUGCGCCCUUUGGUAUUCCAAAGGGCAUGCCUGUUUGAGCGUCAUUUCUCUCUCAAACCUUCGGGUUUGGUAUUGAGUGAUACUCUUAGUCGAACUAGGCGUUUGCUUGAAAUGUAUUGGCAUGAGUGGUACUGGAUAGUGCUAUAUGACUUUCAAUGUAUUAGGUUUAUCCAACUCGUUGAAUAGUUUAAUGGUAUAUUUCUCGGUAUUCUAGGCUCGGCCUUACAAUAUAACAAACAAGUUUGACCUCAAAUCAGGUAGGACUACCCGCUGAACUUAAGCAUAUCUA
rnacentral:rRNA from 1 species